AACGAACGCUGGCGGCAGGCUUAACACAUGCAAGUCGAGCGCCCCGCAAGGGGAGCGGCAGACGGGUGAGUAACGCGUGGGAAUCUACCCAUCUCUACGGAAUAACGCAUGGAAACGUGUGCUAAUACCGUAUACGUCCUUCGGGAGAAAGAUUUAUCGGAGAUGGAUGAGCCCGCGUUGGAUUAGCUAGUUGGUGGGGUAAAGGCCUACCAAGGCGACGAUCCAUAGCUGGUCCGAGAGGAUGAUCAGCCACACUGGGACUGAGACACGGCCCAGACUCCUACGGGAGGCAGCAGUGGGGAAUAUUGGACAAUGGGCGCAAGCCUGAUCCAGCUAUGCCGCGUGAGUGAUGAAGGCCCUAGGGUUGUAAAGCUCUUUCACCGGUGAAGGUAAUGACGGUAACCGGAGAAGAAGCCCCGGCUAACUUCGUGCCAGCAGCCGCCGUAAUAC
rnacentral:rRNA from 1 species